rnacentral:rRNA from 1 species
UCGGAUUAGCUAGUUGGUGAGGUAACGGCUCACCAAGGCCACGAUCCGUAGCUGGUCUGAGAGGAUGAUCAGCCACAUCGGGACUGAGACACGGCCCGAACUCCUACGGGAGGCAGCAGUGGGGAAUAUUGGACAAUGGGGGAAAGCCUGAUCCAGCCAUGCCGCGUGUGUGAAGAAGGCCCUCGGGUUGUAAAGCACUUUCAGCGAGGAAGAACGCCUAGCGGUUAAUACCCGCUAGGAAAGACAUCACUCGCAGAAGAAGCACCGGCUAACUCCGUGCCAGCAGCCGCGGUAAUACGGAGGGUGCAAGCGUUAAUCGGAAUUACUGGGCGUAAAGCGCGCGUAGGUGGCUUGAUAAGCCGGUUGUGAAAGCCCCGGGCUCAACCUGGGAACGGCAUCCGGAACUGUCAAGCUAGAGUGCAGGAGAGGAAGGUAGAAUUCCCGGUGUAGCGGUGAAAUGCGUAGAGAUCGGGAGGAAUACCAGUGGCGAAGGCGGCCUUCUGGACUGACACUGACACUGAGGUGCGAAAGCGUGGGUAGCAAACAGGAUUAGAUACCCUGGUAGUCCACGCCGUAAACGAUGUCGACCAGCCGUUGGGUGCCUAGCGCACUUUGUGGCGAAGUUAACGCGAUAAGUCGACCGCCUGGGGAGUACGGCCGCAAGGUUAAAACUCAAAUGAAUUGACGGGGGCCCGCACAAGCGGUGGAGCAUGUGGUUUAAUUCGAUGCAACGCGAAGAACCUUACCUACUCU